AUACGUAGGUGGCAAGCGUUGUCCGGAUUUAUUGGGCGUAAAGCGAGCGCAGGUCGGUUUUUAAGUCUGAUGUGAAAGCCUUCGGCUUAACCGGAGAAGUGCAUCGGAAACUGGGAGACUUGAGUGCAGAAGAGGGCAGUGGAACUCCAUGUGUAGCGGUGGAAUGCGUAGAUAUAUGGAAGAACACCAGUGGCGAAGGCGGCUGUCUGGUCUGUAACUGACGCUGAGGCUCGAAAGUAUGGGUAGC
rnacentral:rRNA from 1 species